UUUUAGAAGCUAGCCAACUGGGAUAAGCAAUAGUAAGAUAUUCACUCGCUUGAUGUGGAAAUGUUACGGAACUUGGGGACAACAUGUGAUAUUCAUGGUUGUACAUAGAACCAGACAAAACUUAAUGAUUGUCUUAAAUUGGAGUGCUUCGACCAUAAACCUAAAACUAAAUCAGAAUGUUCCUGUCAGAGAUGGUACAGUUUCCAUCGCCUCCCAAAUAAUGACGAAGCGAAAAGAAAUUGGCUCAAAAACUUACAUUUAAAAAAGCCUCCCAAAAAGUUGUAUGUUUGCUCGUUUCACUUUGUUGGUAAGACGCCAAUGCAGGAUAACUCACAGCCAACGCUCUUUCUGGGUUAUGAGAGGUCACCAGAGAAGACGCUCCGCCUCAGCAGGAGGCAGACAGACAUGCCACAAGAACAGAUGAGCCUGGAGUGAUGGAGGUUUCUGAGGAGCCAGGUCCUAUUUCAAAGACCUUCCAUGAUGCCCAAACACAGUGGUCAGACCACACCUAUUCCAUAGGACCUAUCAUCACAUGUGGCAUGACGACCUCACCAGCCCCGAGAGGUCACUGUCUUUUGCAGAUGUUACAUUGAAAGAUGAUGCAGACUGUCUGCUGUACACGGGGAUUCCACUUAUAGAAUUCAACACUCUUGUGUCUUGCUUCCAAGGUUUUACCCCACAUCAUCAACAAUGACGGUUGUAGACCAAAUUCUGUUGUCACUAAUGCAACACAGAACUUUGUUUUAGCUGAUUUAGCAAGAAGCUUCAGAAGGUCACCCGGUCAGUUCAGUAAAACGCUGAAUUCUGGAUAGAUGUCAUUGCUGAGCACACCAAGGAUCAUAUUCCAUGGCUGCCUCGUGAGACAAUAAAGACUACUAUGCCACAGGUUUUUCAGGAUCAUUUUUCAAACACAACUUGUGUUAUUGAUUGCACAGAAAGUGUUUUGCAGAAGGCUAAAAAUUCUGGAAUCAAGAACUGAAUCUUACAGUCACUCCUAUGCCAGUAAUACUGUAAAAUAUCUAGUUGCAUUUCAGAGGCUUAUGGUGGGAAAUGUAGCGAGAGGUUCAUAACACAGAACUCACAGCCAUCUCCGUGCUGGAGAUGAGGUGAUGGGGGACCGUGGACUUGCUAGAGGAACGGAAUGUACACUUGGUCUUACAUGCAAGCUGUUGACAAGCCAGUUGACAAAUGAGCAGGUCACUCGCACACGACGCCUUGCUAAUGUCCGUAUCCAUGUGGAACGAGCAGUAAGGAGUCUUAAGGUGUACAAGAUUCUCGCACAAACUGUACCUAUUAGUUUGGUCCCUAAAAAAUGACAACAUACUUCAAAUGUGUGCAGCCUAACAUAAUCAACCUGACUAACAACAUGCGCUGAUCGUUUAUGUAUUCCAAAAAUGUACAUCACUUUAUUCCUAUUAAUGAACUGCAAAACAUUGUCAGCAUUUGUUGCAUUAUUUUAUUCCAAAUGCUAGCUGUAUUUGUUUUAAAUCACUGUUGUGUCAUUGUUGUGUCAAUGUUUUGUCAUUGUUUUGUCAGCUCACACAACUGCCUGUACCAACUUGCCUAUUUUAACUGGUUCUGUCCUAUGAAAAAUUGACUUUGUCCUAUGAAAAAUUACACUGUGUUUGAGUAGGUAUAUCUUUUAAUAAAUUCAUGAUCUAAUA